rnacentral:lncRNA from 1 species
ACCUUUGUCUUGGUCUUUGUGGUUCCAUCCAUUUUGUUCCAAUCCCGCAUACCCUGAUUAACAAAGAAAUCGGAGCUAGACGCAGACUGUUAACGUUGUUGGGCCGUGAAGACUGUGAUUCUUUUGGUAGUUUAAGUGUACUACUGAUCAGGCAGCCAGACUAGGUGAAACACUGAAAAUCCAGAGGUACAGUUGUAUGAAGCAGCUGAAGUUGGAGAUAUUGAUGCCAUGAAGUCUGUCUUCUCUAAUGGGGCAGGUAUUAACUGGGAGCAUCCAGGUUUGAAUAAUGAGACUCCUUUACAUGCAGCAGUUUACAAAAGCAGGAUUGAUGCUGUCCUGUGGUUACUGAAUGAAGGUGCUUAUACUGAGUCCUGGGAUACAGAGGUACAGUUGUAUGAGGCAGCUGAAGUUGGAGAUAUUGAUGCCAUGAAGUCUGUCUUCUCUAAUGGGGGAAACAUAAACUGGGAGCAUCUACAGUAGGUUUGGAUGGAUGGACUCCUCUCAUAUUCUCAGCUUAUUUAGGAAUUACACAAUCAGUUUAAUUGCUCCUUGAAAAAGGAGCUGAUGUCUCUGCCUCUGAUAAUUAUGGUAAGACGUACUGCUCUUGUUUAUGCUGAAGAAAACGGUCAUUAUGAAGUGGCUACUACACUAAGAGUACACUCAGGUAAUGUAUUAUUGUUUAUGCUGAAGAAAACGGUCAUUAUGAAGUGACUACUAUGCUAAGAGUACACUCAGUACUGUAUUGUUUGUAAAUUUUAUGAAAAACACUUGAGUCAUCAGCUACUGCUUUCUUCCUUACCAUAUGUGAGGUACAGUUGUAUGAAGCAGCUCAAGUUGGAGAUAUUGACGCCAUGAAGUCUGUCUUCUCUAAUGGGGCAGGUAUUAACUGGGAGAAUCCUGAUAGGAUUAACAUGACUCAAUUACAUGAAGCAGCUACUAAGAAUAAGAUUGAUGCUGUCAAACUAUUGCUGGGUUAAGGGGCUCAUAUUGAGCCAAGAGAUGAUGUGACCGAGUUGCAUAUUGAACGAGACACUGGCCUCAUCAAAACAAAGAAAAACAAUAAUUAUUAUUUUACAUGUAUGAUUUCAAAACUAAUUUUUCCUGCAUAUUACCACUGUAGGUAUUUAAAUUAAAUGGCAAGGCCAAUGAUACACACAUUAUUACAACAUGUAAUGUAGUAUAUACAUGCUAGUUGAUAAUAAACCAGUUCCAAUGCAUGUUUUUCUUUGCAUUAAAUUGUAUAUGUGGUAUUCCAAUUAUGUAAGGAUUAAUAGCC